AAGUUGGGUGGAGAGAGUGAGUCACUGGCUCGAACCCUCCACUGCAGGAUCCAAUCCGGCGGGCGGGGAGGCCCUGGGUCCUGGAACUGGGAGACGGUUCUGAAAGGCCAGGAUCAGAUGGCCCCCACCAAACUCUGCGACUUCAGACCACUUCCUGAAUUUAUCUGGGUCUCAGUUUGUCCUGCGAAAUAGGAGCAGUCCCAGACCAUGUAUCUACUGUGUUUCAAGCACCGACCCAGGCGCUGGGGCUGCAACAGAUCAUUAAGGGUUGUGCAGACAGAGCAAGACGUGCAGGGACACCGAGCUCCACACCUACAGAGGGUCCGAAUGGAUAAAGGUUUGGAGUGUGAACGUGUAUGACUCCCACAAAGAGAA